UGUGUGUGUCCAAGUUAACCUCCAGCAAUGCAGGCUGUGAAAUAGUUGGACUAAUAGAGAAAAAGCAAUGCGUUGGUGGAAAAAGGAUCCCUGAUACAAAGGAAGUUGUGCAGUUUUUAGUGAUGCCUCCUUCUGAAGAAUGCCAAUGAAUUUACAUUUUUUUUAAACCGUUCAUAGGGGAAGAUUUUCGUGUUCAUUUUAGAGAGAGAUGCUCUUUUUUUUUUUUUUUUUUUUUUUUAGGAAGGGAAGUUCAAAUUACUUUCUUUCUUUAUAGGUUAUCUUUUAUUUACUUUGAAAAUAUGUUCCUAUUCCCCUUCUGAGUUGCUUAACGACUAAAUCAUCUGAUCUAAGGGACAAAAACUGCACAUGUAGCAAGAGAUAGCUGUGUGUCGUCCGUGCUUUAUGCCAUUUGUUGUUUUCCACUGAGUUCACUAGCAUUUCGUUGUUUUAGAGGUACUGAAUGUGCAAUGUUUACUUUUCACAUGUAUGUUUACAUCACUGUAGAGAGAGAUGCUGAGCUGCCGCAGGUUUCCGCUCUCAUUCUGUCCUGGACGGCGACAGUCGCUUGGAAUGAAACGUUGACCGAGGGCCAGGCCGCGUUUUCCCAACACUGACACUGAAAUCCGUGAUCCUGACACACUGACAAACAUUUCCCCCCCGUUAAAAGGCAUUAAACAUUGAUGAGGUCUUUUUCUGUCUGAGUUGGUCGGCGGUGGAACCGCAGCAUUCAGUACAUGUAAAACAGCAGCGUGUCUCGUAUUCAGAACGUUCUGCUGAAAGAACACACAGAACCGCAAUGAACGAUUUCACCUGAUUUCAGUUUGAGCGUCUGCGUCGACUCUUGGCUGUGUUUUUUUCCCCCAUUACUUUACAUUGAAAUAAUUGCUGAUUUCUAAUAUUUCCCAUUUUUUUGAGACAGAAUUCUGUGUAGUUUAAUAGAAAUGGCAACAAAAAUGGAUUUGCGAUUGACUGUAUUGGCAUUACCGUCACAAUUCCUUUUCUGUUGAUAUUUUUGAGGGUUAUGUUCUUUUCAUUUUGACGUGGCUGUUCAAGAGAAGAAUGUGUGUUCUGGUCAAAUGCAUUCAGGAAUUGUACUGCGUGGAUGAGAGAGAGAAAAAAAAAGCCUGAAACCUUUGCAGAUUGAGGUUUUAGCCGGUUUCAGUAAACCAUCCUGACAAAUUGUGUGCACCAGAGAGGAAACGAUCCGGUUCUCUUCCCCUCUGUUCCCCUGGUGCCAUGUGUGUAGACGAUAAACUCUUUUGCAUUAGGGAGAACGUGACAUCACAGCACAGUAGGUAGUUUUAAGACGUCACCAAUGCAGCUACUAGGCCGUGUGAUUGUUCUGCCUGUAGCCGUGUACACUUAACAUAAAACAAUGAGGGACGGACUGUGCGACUGACUGAGGCGCUGCAAUUUUCUAUCAACGUCAUCCCUGUGAAUUUGCACUCCGAGUCGUCGCAGCUGUCCUCUACCGAGUGCAAUACUUGUGGCUAAUGUAUAAACUGAGCUGUAGCUUCACUAACUUUUGAGUUUAGAGUCUGGAGUACUUUGUCGUAACAAAAGCUAUUUAUUUGCAGUUGUGUGUGUGUGUGUGUCUGUUUUU